UCCCGCCCCCUCCAGCAGAACGAUUGUAAACAGCAGAUGGCAAUCCCAUCUGAUCAGAAUCCCUGGGAGGGGCCGAGCUACACGGCCCUCCCAGGUCAUGUCCACCCCAUAAAUAGAGCCAACAUAUGACCAGUUCUCCCAGCACCCUGCGAGCUGAAGGGAGUAACGCUGGUAUUACAAUACCCCAAUCACGGUGAGUGCCUGUUCUACCUUAUACUCAAACAAGCCUUUUUGUAACCAACCUAACCUCACUCUAGCAUGUACCUCUCCUUACCAUGCAUGCCUCAGUUUCUAUCUAUAUACGUCUGCUCCACAGGCAUUCGGCACCAGGUUCCUCUCUACAUAUAGAGCCCGGGAUUCCCCCUAGCAACUCUAAGAGGAUCGUCCGCAUUGGACUCAGUAAACCCCCUGACCUGCUGCACUUUUGCCCUAACAAGCCCUACAUUUGGGAUACCGUGUGUUUGGGAUCAAUCGGAGCCAUCCCUCCCCUUUCUCUUUUCUUACUUAUGAGACCCCAUAAGUCGGCCCUGGGGAUAUCCUAAACCGACAAGUUGAGGGUCAAUUUUCAAACCCUGGUUUACCACAAACGAGAGAGAAAAACAGCUUGUAAUCACACACUCCUGUGGCCCCUGAUGAAGGUCUGUUGCUCCAUCAAUAGACCAGAAACGCGUCGGGCAUUUCUCCACUACUCUCUACAGAGUGUUUUUUAAUCUAAUUGUAUUGUAUCUUCACGAGGUUUUAUUUGAGUACUUUCUUGUUGUUUCCUAUUUUCUCCUGGGUCCACACAUGGGACGUGUGCCCCAGGUGUCACUUUAUCACUACUUCUUAUAUGUUUUUUAUUCUUAUUAUACAUAAUUUCUGACUGUUCCAGAAGAUUUCUGUAAUCCAACAUCCAGAAUUACUCUGUAAUUAAGUGUUUACCCAUCUUGGUGCAAAUAUCUAAUAAA